CCUACGGGAGGCAGCAGUGAGGAAUAUUGGUCAAUGGGAGGAAUCCUGAACCAGCCAUGCCGCGUGCAGGACGACGGCUCUACGAGUUUUAAACUGCUUUUGUACCGGGGUAAAAUGCUCUACUAGUAGGUUUUUUCAAGUACGUUACGAAUAAGGAACGACUAACUCCGUGCCAGCAGCCGCGGUAAUACGGAGUGUCCGAGCGUUACCCGGAUUCAUUGGGUUGAAAGUGUGCGUAGGUGGUUUUAUAAGUUAGCGGGGAAAUACCGAGGCUAAACAUCGGGGCUGCCGCUGAUACUGUAGGACUAGAGAUCGGAUGCGGCAGGCGGAAUGUGUAGUGUAGCGGUGAAAUGCUUAGAGAUCAGACAGAACACCGAUUGCGAAGGCAGCUUACCAAGCUACUUCUGACGUUGAGGCACGAAAGCGUGGGGAGCAAACAGGAUUAGAUACCCUGGUAGUC
rnacentral:rRNA from 1 species